rnacentral:lncRNA from 1 species
GGAAAUGCAUCGGCUGAAAUAUUGGAGGGAGAAAGAAAAGUUGAGGAAAUGCUUCUCAACUGGGGCAAGAAAAAAAGAAGAAAGAAACUCUCUAUAUAUAGGGAGUGAAACACUAUUCAAGUGUUUAUCCUGAGCGAUGUGGGACUUGAAGCCUUUUUUUUCUUCUUUUUUUCAAACUUUCAUCCACAUUCUCCUUUGUUCUAACAAUCCCCCCCAC